rnacentral:rRNA from 1 species
ACCCGAAUGGGGAAACCCAGUGUGACUCGUCACACUAUCAUUAACUGAAUCCAUAGGUUAAUGAGGCGAACCGGGGGAACUGAAACAUCUAAGUACCCCGAGGAAAAGAAAUCAACCGAGAUUCCCCCAGUAGCGGCGAGCGAACGGGGAGGAGCCCAGAGCCUGAAUCAGCAUGUGUGUUAGUGGAAGCGUCUGGAAAGGCGCGCGAUACAGGGUGACAGCCCCGUACACAAAAGCGCAUGUGCUGUGAGCUCGAUGAGUAGGGCGGGACACGUGGUAUCCUGUCUGAAUAUGGGGGGACCAUCCUCCAAGGCUAAAUACUCCUGACUGACCGAUAGUGAACCAGUACCGUGAGGGAAAGGCGAAAAGAACCCCGGCGAGGGGAGUGAAAAAGAACCUGAAACCGUGUACGUACAAGCAGUGGGAGCACCCUUUGGGUGUGACUGCGUACCUUUUGUAUAAUGGGUCAGCGACUUAUAUUCUGUAGCAAGGUUAACCGAAUAGGGGAGCCGGAGGGAAACCGAGUCUUAACCGGGCGUUAAGUUGCAGGGUAUAGACCCGAAACCCGGUGAUCUAGCCAUGGGCAGGUUGAAGGUUGGGUAACACUAACUGGAGGACCGAACCGACUAAUGUUGAAAAAUUAGCGGAUGACCUGUGGCUGGGGGUGAAAGGCCAAUCAAACCGGGAGAUAGCUGGUUCUCCCCGAAAGCUAUUUAGGUAGCGCCUCGUGAAUUCAUCUCCGGGGGUAGAGCACUGUUUCGGCUAGGGGGCCAUCCCGGCUUACCAACCCGAUGCAAACUGCGAAUACCGGAGAAUGUUAUCACGGGAGACACACGGCGGGUGCUAACGUCCGUCGUGAAGAGGGAAACAACCCAGACCGCCAGCUAAGGUCCCAAAGUCAUGGUUAAGUGGGAAACGAUGUGGGAAGGCCCAGACAGCCAGGAUGUUGGCUUAGAAGCAGCCAUCAUUUAAAGAAAGCGUAAUAGCUCACUGGUCGAGUCGGCCUGCGCGGAAGAUGUAACGGGGCUAAACCAUGCACCGAAGCUGCGGCAGCGACACUGUGUGUUGUUGGGUAGGGGAGCGUUCUGUA